UACGUAGGGUGCAAGCGUUGCCCGGAUUUAUUGGGCGUAAAGGGCGCGUAGGCGGCUCUGCACGUUCGUUGUGAAAUCGCCCGGCUCAACUGGGCGGGGUCAGCGGAUACGGCAGAGCUUGAGCAAGCUAGGGGGCAAUGGAAUUCCCGGUGUAGUGGUGGAAUGCGUAGAGAUCCGGAAGAACACCGGUGGCGAAGGCGGCCUGCUGGGCAGUUGCUGACACUGAGGCGCGACAGCGUGGGGAGCAAACAGG
rnacentral:rRNA from 1 species